rnacentral:rRNA from 1 species
GACGGGGCCCGCACAAGCGGAGGAACAUGUGGUUAAUUCGAUGAUACGCGAGGAACCUUACCUGGGCUUAAAUGUAGAGUGCAUUUUUAGAGAUAGAAAUUCCCUUCGGGGCUUUCUGCAAGGUGCUGCAUGGUUGUCGUCAGCUCGUGCCGUGAGGUGUCGGGUUAAGUCCCAUAACGAGCGCAACCCUUAUCGUUAGUUGCCAGCUGGUAAAGCAGGGGACUCUAGCGAAACUGCCACCGUAAGGUGAGAGGAAGGUGGGAUGACGUCAAAUCAGCACGGCCCUUAUGUCCAGGGCUACACACGUGUUACAAUGGCCGGCACAGAGGGCAGCUACCUGGUGACAGGAUGCUAAUCUCGAAAACCGGUCUCAGUUCGGAUCGAAGUCUGCAACUCGACUUCGUGAAGCUGGAUUCGCUAGUAAUCGCGCAUCAGCCAUGGCGCGGUGAAUACGUUCCCGGGCCUU